AGAGUUUGAUCCUGGCUCAGGACGAACGCUGGCGGCAUGCCUAACACAUGCAAGUCGAACGGAGAUUAUUUCGAUAAUCUUAGUGGCGAACGGGUGAGUAACGCGUGGGCAACCUGCCCUCUAGAUGGGGACAACAUCCCGAAAGGGGUGCUAAUACCGAAUGUGACAGCAAUCUCGCAUGAGGAUGCUGUGAAAGAUGGCCUCUAUUUAUAAGCUAUCGCUAGAGGAUGGGCCUGCGUCUGAUUAGCUAGUUGGUGGGGUAACGGCCUACCAAGGCGAUGAUCAGUAGCCGGUCUGAGAGGAUGAACGGCCACAUUGGGACUGAGACACGGCCCAGACUCCUACGGGAGGCAGCAGUGGGGAAUCUUCCGCAAUGGGCGAAAGCCUGACGGAGCAAUGCCGCGUGAGUGAUGAAGGAAUUCGUUCCGUAAAGCUCUUUUGUUUAUGACGAAUGUGCAGGUUGUGAAUAAUGACUUGUAAUGACGGUAGUAAACGAAUAAGCCACGGCUAACUACGUGCCAGCAGCCGCGGUAAUACGUAGGUGGCGAGCGUUGUCCGGAAUUAUUGGGCGUAAAGAGCAUGUAGGCGGUUUUUUAAGUCUGGAGUGAAAAUGCGGGGCUCAACCCCGUAUGGCUCUGGAUACUGGAAGACUUGAGUGCAGGAGAGGAAAGGGGAAUUCCCAGUGUAGCGGUGAAAUGCGUAGAUAUUGGGAGGAACACCAGUGGCGAAGGCGCCUUUCUGGACUGUGUCUGACGCUGAGAUGCGAAAGCCAGGGUAGCGAACGGGAUUAGAUACCCCGGUAGUCCUGGCCGUAAACGAUGGGUACUAGGUUGUAGGAGGUAUCGACCCCUUCUGUGCCGGAGUUAACGCAAUAAGUACCCCGCCUGGGGAGUACGUCCGCAAGGAUGAAACUCAAAGGAAUUGACGGGGGCCCGCCAACCGGUGGAAUUAUGUGGUUUAAUUCGACGCAACCCGAAAAACCUUACCAAGGUUUGACUUUGAUGGCCCCUUCAAAAAUGAGCUUUCCCUUCGGGGAAUAAAAACAAGGGGGGCCAGGCUGUCUUCACUCCUGUCUUGGAAAUUUGGGUUAAUCCCCCAACAACCGACCCUCUUCCUAUGUUCCCCCGGGUAAGCCGGGGACCAAAAGGAAUGCCAAGGACAUUUGGGAGGAGCGGGGUAACCUCAUGUCCUCCCCCCUUAUUUUUGGGCCACCCCUCCAAAUGGUGGCAAAAGAGGAAGCGAAGCCGUGAGGCAGAGCAAACCCCAGAAACCCGAUCUCAGUUCGGAUUGCAGGCUGCAACUCGCCUGCAUGAAGUCGGAAUCGCUAGUAAUCGCAGGUCAGCAUACUGCGGUGAAUACGUUCCCGGGCCUUGCACACACCGCCCGUC
rnacentral:rRNA from 1 species